UAUCAGUUAGUUGGUAGUGUAAUGGACUACCAAGACAGUGACGGUUGACGGGAAAUUAGGGUUUUGUACCGGAGAGGGAGCCUGAGAGAUUGCUCCCACGUCCAAGGACGGCAGCAGGCGCGAAAAUUGCCCACUCUUUGCAGGAGGCAGUUAUGAGACGUGAAGAUGAGUAUCUUGUAAAGAGGGAUAGGAGAAUUGGAGGGCAAGUUUGGUGCCAGCAGCCGCGGUAAUACCGACUCCAAGAGUGUGUAUGAGAGAUGCUGCAGUUUAAAAAGUCCGUAGUCAUAGAAGGGCAAAGAGAGAUGCGAGGUCUCACAGUGCGAUGAUGGAGGAGCCGAUGGGGAACAUAGUAUACCAGGGCGAGAGAUGAAAUGCCAAGACCCCUGGUGGACUGAGCGAGGCGAAGGCGAUGUUCUUGUAGGCAUUCGGUGAUCAAGGACGAAGGCUGGAGUAUCGAAAGUGAUUAGAUACCGCAGUAGUUCCAGCAGUAAAAGAUGCCGACAUGCUCAUUGGACACAGUGGG
rnacentral:rRNA from 1 species